UUAAAACUCUUCAAGGACGGAUUGUUUCAUUUUUAUACACACUUUUGCUAGAAAGACCAAAAGAAAUUUAGAGACCAUGGAGGCACAACAACACCAUCCUAAGUUACGGGAUUGUAAUUAGGAAGGAUAAAGUCACCUUCACAAUGAAGGUGAACAUCAUCAUAAGCAGUAAGUGCUAAAUAGAGAAGAAGGAAGAGGGGAAACAAUGAUAAAUGUACUUCUAUUGCAAUAUAAGUGGGCCAAAUGGCUAUUUUGAAUACUAAACAAUAAUUGAGUUAUUUUAUGUAAGAAAUUUUGACCCAAUAGACAUUUUAUCUAAUUUUUCUAUUAAAAAUAUAAGGCAAGACCUCUA